rnacentral:misc_RNA from 1 species
GAAAGCCACAUGCACACAAGGACACCCAACUCAGUGAAUUUUUCAAUGUAGAAGUCACUGCUCUACCCAGUUAUGAGGAGAAGGAAGAGCAGUUUAAAGAUCAGGUUGCUCAACUUAGGCAGCUUUUUUUCCACUCCAUCUCUCCAGGAGGCUUGGCUGGCGAUAGGCGGGGUGUUGUUCCAGCCUCUGGUUUUUCUUACAGUGUACAGCAAAUAUGGGAAGUCAUCAAAGAAAACAAGGAUCUCGAUUUGCCUGCUCACAAGGUCAUGGUGGCCACUGUGCGUUGUGAAGAAAUUGCAAAUGAGAAGUUCAGUAGUUUGAUGAUAAAUGAGGACUGGCUAGCACUUGAGCAUGAAGUGAAAGAGGAUGCAGUUCGAAAUUUUGGAAGACGACUAAGCUCCAUCUUAGAUAACUUUCUGUCAGAAUAUGAUGCGGAAUCCCUCUUUUUUGAAGAAAACGUGAGAAGUUCAAAACGUCAACAAUUUAUGUCGAAAGCUUUGCAGUUGGUCCAUCCGGCUUUU